CUCGCUUCAAAAACGUGCCAAUUAGCGAGAUGUAAAUUAUUUGGGUGACGCAGCGAUGCCCGGCGAAGUAUUGCCAUUUAACACGAUCACCCAGCUCAAUUAAAGGAGUGUGGCCACACAUUUGCUUUUUAUAGUCGUGAUGAUUCGGACGGUUGAUUUUUUAAUGAUUUUUAUUAAACUUAUAUCAAUUUAAACAUUAUAGGUGUUGCAACGGUUAUAAAAAGGUUAAUUUGGUUGAUUUAUAUUCAGAUAUUAUGCUUGUGAGAAGAGAAGGAAACCAUAAUACCAAAUUUUUUGAGAUAUUUCUUGUAGUUCUCCUUUAUUUUUUUCCCCUCUAAAUAUUGAGAGGAUACUUUUGUCCUUAUACAAAUGUUUUGUAGAAGAUAUAAUCUUGUUUAUUAGCCAAUCAAACUUAAGUUAUAUUAAUAUUAUGGCGAGUAUUAUGAGCGUCCGUACCAUCCCACCUCCCUGGCCGAACCAUCACCACGGGUGGGGAUGGUUCGGACGAUUUAGAAACUUGUCUUUCAUCACCGACAUCUGAAAACUGGAAAUAGCUACGAGUGUCAUAUUAGCAGCCUAAAGAGCCAAAUGAUGGAGGAACAUUUUGAGAUCAACAAAAUUACACUACUACUUAAACUUCUUUUUCUAAAAAUAUUUUUCUUAAAAGUGGCCGAAUCAUACCGGCUCUCCCCUAAAAAGUAGCCCAAAAUUGAGGGGGCUUUUCUAAAAUUUUGCCAUUUUUACCUGUUAUGAUGUCAUUAUAUGGCCCUUUAUUGACCAAAAAUGCUUUUUUGAUGUUUAUUCCUUGCGUUGAGGUCAUAACAAACCUGCAGAAGUGAGUGAGUGUGGUGACUGGCGGUGAUCGUGUCUGUGUUCCUAUGUUGUUUUCCCGUUUUUGUGCUGUUCAAGCGUUGGAUCACGCGAGACUAUAAAUAUUGCGACUUGUGAAUGUUCAGUGAAUAGGUUGGGAAGUAAUAAGUGAAGAAAAUUGAAGCGAGGAGGAUAUAAAUCUGAGAUAUAUACGUAGGGCGAAGGCGGGAGUUUCGGAGGGAGACAAGAAUGGCGGCGGCGGGUGGUAAGCCAUUGCCCAAAGAUGGAGUGACCGAGGAUGAAAAUAAAUCCAUAUGUAAGAAGGCAGUAUUGGACGAUGAUAAGGCUCUUGGAUGUGAGGUCACAAUGGUUUGCAAAGGAAAAGAUAACUGGCUUCACCUGUAGCAAGUUGUGCAUUAUGCAAAGACUGGGACAUACUCAGAUGCAGUCACAGCAGAGGAGAAGAGUGGCAUCUGAAAAUUUGCUGCAAGUUUCCAUCUUGAAGAGCCAGAUGUCUUAACUGAAAUGAGAAAGAAUUUGAAAAACCAUAGAUCGUUGGAGAAUGUGAGCCACGAAGGUUCCCGCCUGGCUGGUUCCUCUGUGCUUUGAAGGCGCGUGCUGUUGUUGUAAACAAGACAAACAUAUUCGCUGCAACUAUAAUACACAACUUUCCAAUUAGGGAAAGUAUUUUCUCAGGUUGUUUUAACUGAACCGCAACUAUUUGUCACGCCAAAUUUGGAAAAUAAACAUAUUUUUCCUCGAAGGUCUGAGUGAAGACACGGGGAAGACCUUGCCUUCCCUUCGUCUCUCCCACAGACCUUCGUUCCAAAAAUGCUAGUGACUAUAGGUACGCACCGUCCUUCCCUUCGAUCUUCAUCGCUAAACCUUCGUGACUCUUGGUACGGGCCUUAAACAUGCUGAAUUGGGCCCAAGUUACUCUCGUUGUGGUAUAUAUGGGGGAUGAAGGGGUGCUGCAGGCUUAUCAAAGAGUCUCCCAUGGUCUCACU